CAUCAGAAGCACCAUGCUGUUCUAGAGGGACAGACAAACCAGAAUUGAGGCACCAGAGAUACCAAAUGCUAUAUUUGAAAAAUGGACUUUUAAAAACAUGGUGAUUGCAGGCAGGAGGUUGCAUGAGACAGUAAGACUAAAUCUAAUUCGUUAUUAUGAACUCCAUGGUUUUUAACGAUUACCUGAGCUUUGAACACUUCGUUCCCAUUAAGGUUCCUUUCUUCAGAGCAAGUGACCAUUCAGAUGACCAACACUGCUCCAAAAGCUUUUUCUGGAAUCAGCUGUAGUACUUGGUUGGAAUUCAGAUGCUUUGAAUCAUUAAGUUAGUUACAUAUUU